rnacentral:rRNA from 1 species
AUUGAACGCUGGCGGCAUGCUUUACACAUGCAAGUCGAACGGUAACAGGCCGCAAGGUGCUGACGAGUGGCGAACGGGUGAGUAAUGCAUCGGAACGUGCCCAGUCGUGGGGGAUAACGCAGCGAAAGCUGCGCUAAUACCGCAUACGAUCUAUGGAUGAAAGCGGGGGACCGUAAGGCCUCGCGCGAUUGGAGCGGCCGAUGUCAGAUUAGGUAGUUGGUGGGGUAAAGGCUCACCAAGCCAACGAUCUGUAGCUGGUCUGAGAGGACGACCAGCCACACUGGGACUGAGACACGGCCCAGACUCCUACGGGAGGCAGCAGUGGGGAAUUUUGGACAAUAGGCGCAAGCCUGAUCCAGCAAUGCCGCGUGCAGGAAGAAGGCCUUCGGGUUGUAAACUGCUUUUGUACGGAACGAAACGGUCUGGGUUAAUACCUCGGGCUAAUGACGGUACCGUAAGAAUAAGCACCGGCUAACUACGUGCCAGCAGCCGCUGUAACAC